rnacentral:rRNA from 1 species
CAGCAGCCACGGUAAUACGGAGGGAGCUAGCGUUGUUCGGAAUUACUGGGCGUAAAGCGCGCGUAGGCGGUUACUCAAGUCAGAGGUGAAAGCCCGGGGCUCAACCCCGGAACUGCUUUUGAAACUAGGUGACUAGAAUCUUGGAGAGGUCAGUGGAAUUCCGAGUGUAGAGGUGAAAUUCGUAGAUAUUCGGAAGAACACCAGUGGUGAAGGCGACUGACUGGACAAGUAUUGACGCUGAGGUGCGAAAGCGUGGGGAGCAAACAGGAUUAGAUACCCCAGUAGUCCCUGUCUCUUAUAC